GUGGGGAUAGACAGGAGGUUGGCUUCUGAUGAGUUAAUUGAAAGACCGUUCUUUAAUACUAUUAUAAUAUUUAGGUAGCUGAAAAAUAUCCACUCUUUUUGACUUAACCUAGCUGUCCUACAUUUUAUUUCUCCACAGAUGUACUGUCCAUUCUGUGGUGCCAGCGUGACAUAUUCGCAUGGCUUUUGUGGUGUCUGUGGCAGAGACAUCACAUUUCUAAAAGAUGUGGCUAACAAAGUCCCUGAGGAGAUGCCCACCACUAGUGUGCAUCUAAGUGCACAGCCUAGCACCAGUGCAGCAGGAAGCUCAGCUGUAGAGUCCUUUCAGAAAUAUAGGGAAAUAAAAAAGAGGGAGAGACCUUUUUUACAAAGGGACGGCAUAACUCCAAAAAUAAACAGAAAUUGGUGAAGAUUUCUGUUGGAGUAAUGAGGAGGAUGGAUGGCUGCCUUAAACCUGUGAGAGGGAGGACACUUCCCCUUCAUGUUGAACCUCAAUGGGCAUGUGAAGAACUGUUGGCUGCUGCCAUAAACAAGCAGAAAGCCUUUAACCAGGACUUGGAAGAUGGUGCCCAUGUCUUGUUGUACCCUGAUGCGAAGGUGAUAACAAAUAUCCCCGGAACGGACACCCCUUUCACAGUACAGAUGUACAAAGAAGCCAUUGGAAAGCCCUACUAAUGAAUUACGUUGUACAUCUGUACUCUUGAAGCCGUUGAAAACAGUUGUAAGUGCUUCUGACAUAUAUUCCCCCUUGUUUAAAGCACUAAACUGUAUAAUAGUUCAAAUGUAAACAUAACAGUUGUUCUGUCUAUAUUUCUUAACACAAUUCAUUCCACCCAUCAUUCCUUUCUCUUCGUGGUUGAACUUAUGACGUCAAAUGGUCUUUUAUGAAUAGUGGCAGAAGAAAUGGAAUUUAAGUAUCAACA